GGUUCGUUAGUUCAGAGGCCUAGAAUGGCGCCCUGUCACGGCGCAGACACGGGUUCGAAACCCGUACGAACCGCCA
rnacentral:tRNA from 2 species